rnacentral:ncRNA from 1 species
UGUCUGUGAAGAUGUGGACUACCUGCACCUGGAUAGAAAGACCUUAUGAAGCUUCACUGUUCCCUGGGAUUGGCUUUGGGCCUUUCCUGCGCAGCUUAGGUGGAUGGCAAAGAAGGCCUCCUUCUGGGGGGGCUCAAGCCAUCAAUGAGAUACCACUCUAGAAGGGCUAGAAUUAUAACCUUGUGUCAGGACCUACGGGCCAAGGGACAGUCUCAGGUAGACAGUUUCUAUGGGAUGUAGGCAUCCCAAAAGGUAACGGAGGCGUGAAAAGGUUUCCUCGGGCCGGACAAAGAUUGUCCCUAGAGUGCAUAGGUAGAAGGGAGCUUGACUGCAAGACCCACCCAUCGAACAGGGACGAAAGUCGGCCUUAGUGAUCUGACAGUACUGAGUGAAAGGCCAUCACUCAAUGGAGAAAAGUUACUCUGGGGAUUACAAGAUGAUCUUACCCAAGAGGUCACAUCAACAGGAAGGUUUGGUACCUCGAUGUCGGCUCUUCGCCACCUAGAGCUGUAGUAUGUUCUAAGGGUUGGGUUGUUCGCCCAUUAAAGAGGUACGUGAGCUGGGUUCAGAACGUCGUAAGACAAUUUAUUCCAUAUCUGGUAUGGACUUUAGAGCAUUGAGAGGACCUUUCCCUAGCACGAGAGGACUGGGAAGGACGUACCUCUGGUGUACCAGUUAUCGUGCCCAUGAUAAACGCUGGGUAGCUAAGUGCGGAGCGGAUAACUACUGAAAGCAUCUAAGUAGUAAGACCACCCCAAGAUGAGUACUCUCCUAUUCUAACUUCCCCAGAGCUUUCGGUAGCACAGCCGAGACAACGAUGGGUUCUCUUCCCCUGCGGGGAUGGAGGGACAGAAGUUUUUUUGAGAAUUCAAGAGAAGGUCACGACGAGAUGAGCCGUUUAUCAUUACGAUAGGUGUCAAGUGGAAGUGUAGUGAUUUAUGCAGCUAAGGCAUCCUAAUAUACCGG